rnacentral:lncRNA from 1 species
CUGAAUCAGAGAAAAUCAAACCAUAUGUGUUUCUGUCUGCACACAGGAGAGCUGAAUCGGCCAGAACCCAGAAAAUCCCAGCCUCACCAAGAGAUGACACGUGACCUGGUGGGCCUCACCCAGGGCAUACAGCUUUCCCAGCUAGCAAACAAACAAGCCCUGGUCACAGCGGUUAUAGCUGGCUCAUGGUCGCUCACAGACACUCUGGGCAUGCAUUCCCGUGACUUAGAAAAGAGGAGGCCUUUGGAACCUGCCAGUGCUGUCUGCUGAUUGUGAGGUGUCUGGAACCUGGGGCCCCAUGGCCCCUCCACACCAGCAUGGUGCUCUGCAAAGGCCAGCUGCUCUUCAUCCUGUCUCAAUGAUACACAGUUUUUUUCCCCAAAACUUUAGUAGCGCCACUCUCCCUAUCACUUGUCUUUUAAUUUUGCCCCUUAUUGUUCCUUAGAUUAAAAAAUAUCCUCCUUCCAUGGGAGGUUUGGACCUAGUAGUCUUGAGUUUGAAUCCAAGCUAUCCAUUUAUUAGCAGAUUGAGCUUAGGUAAGUCCCUUCAUCUUUCUGAAUCUUGAAAUUUUCAAAGCAAAACAGGGCUAAGGGUAUCCACUUU